UACGUAGGGGGCGAGCGUUGUCCGGAAUCAUUGGGCGUAAAGCGCGUGUAGGCGGCCCGGUAAGUCCGCUGUGAAAGUCCAGGGCUCAACCCUGGGAUGCCGGUGGAUACUGUCGGGCUCGAGUCCGGAAGAGGCGAGUGGAAUUCCUGGUGUAGCGGUGAAAUGCGCAGAGUAUCAGGAGGAACACCAAUGGCGAAGGCAGCUCGCUGGGACGUGACUGACGCUGAGACGCGAAAGCGUGGGGAGCAAACAGG
rnacentral:rRNA from 1 species